UACGAAGGGGGCUAGCGUUGUUCGGAAUUACUGGGCGUAAAGCGUGCGCAGGCGGUCAGUUAAGUCUGAUGUGAAAGCCCCGGGCUCAACCUGGGAAUGGCAUUGGAAACUGGCUUGCUGGAGUGUGGCAGAGGGGGGUGGAAUUCCGCGUGUAGCAGUGAAAUGCGUAGAGAUGCGGAGGAACACCGAUGGCGAAGGCAGCCCCCUGGGCCAACACUGACGCUCAGGCACGAAAGCGUGGGGAGCAAACAGG
rnacentral:rRNA from 1 species